GGUUUGAUGGUCUAGUGGUAGGAUUCUCGCUUUGGGUACACAUUUAAUGUAUCGAAAAUGCGAGAGGUCCCGGGUUCAAUCCCCGGUCAAACCC